GAGUCUGCGCCCUGGGCGUAGGCGGGCGGGCGUUGCUAGGCGACGGGUGUCGGGAAAGCUAAAUUGAGUAGUCAGGAUUAGGGAAUCUACUCCAGUCAUCUUUCUAGUUCACAUGACAGAGAGAGGUCAAAACACCAACGAGGACCCCCGGGACUGGCAGGAAGAACGGAUGACGCUGGUGAGCACCGUGUGAAACUGAGGCUCUGCGGCAGCGAGCAUCCAGAUGACAAGGACUUACACGUCUUUGUGUCAUGCUAGCCUCCAGGAGGGCCCCAGACUGGCGACAGCAAAACAGGCCAUACAAACUAGUUCCACACGGCUGCCAAGGGGAAAACUAAUCGUUCUUCAAGCAUUUGGGGAAGGGCCAUGAUUCCUGAGGAAGAAGGGAGAAGAGAAUGGUCUAAGAUGGAACCAGGUGUGCCAGAAAAGACUUGAAGACACCUCUGGAGACAUCUGGGAGAAUGCAUGGUAAAACGGCAGUGUUAGCAAACAGUAGCUAUCACUACUACUGUGGAAUGAAAGUGACGAGAAACCAUUAAAACCCUCAUUUAAUCCACCGAGAAA
rnacentral:lncRNA from 1 species